UGGCUCAGGACGAACGCUGGCGGCGUGCUUAACACAUGCAAGUCGAACGCUGAAGCCCUUCGGGGUGGAUGAGUGGCGAACGGGUGAGUAACACGUGGGUAAUCUGCCCUGCACUCUGGGAUAAGCCUUGGAAACGAGGUCUAAUACCGGAUAGGACACAUGGCCGCAUGGUCUGUGUGUGGAAAGUUCCGGCGGUGCAGGUUGAGCCCGCGGCCUAUCAGCUUGUUGGUGGGGUGAUGGCCUACCAAGGCGACGACGGGUAGCCGGCCUGAGAGGGUGACCGGCCACACUGGGACUGAGACACGGCCCAGACUCCUACGGGAGGCAGCAGUGGGGAAUCUUGCGCAAUGGGCGAAAGCCUGACGCAGCAACGCCGCGUGGGGGAUGACGGCCUUCGGGUUGUAAACCUCUUUCGACAUCGACGAAGCCUUCGGGUGACGGUAGGUGUAGAAGAAGCACCGGCUAACUACGUGCCAGCAGCCGCGGUAAUACGUAGGGUGCGAGCGUUGUCCGGAAUUAUUGGGCGUAAAGAGCUCGUAGGCGGUUUGUCGCGUCGGCCGUGAAAACCUGCCGCUUAACGGUGGGCGUGCGGUCGAUACGGGCAGACUUGAGUUCGGUAGGGGAGACUGGAAUUCCUGGUGUAGCGGUGAAAUGCGCAGAUAUCAGGAGGAACACCGGUGGCGAAGGCGGGUCUCUGGGCCGAUACUGACGCUGAGGAGCGAAAGCGUGGGGAGCGAACAGGAUUAGAUACCCUGGUAGUCCACGCCGUAAACGGUGGGCGCUAGGUGUGGGGACUGUUUCCACGGUUCCUGUGCCGUAGCUAACGCAUUAAGCGCCC
rnacentral:rRNA from 2 species